CUACAGUACGUCCUAAUCCCAUCCAUCCAGCCUCGGCCUACAGUACAUCCUAAUCCCAUCCAUCCAGCCUCGGCCUACAGUACAUAUGAAUGCCAAACAACAACGUUUCUGCUGUAAACUGAAGACACAAGAAGCACUGCAGACAGUACAACACCUACUACAGUCUACAGCCUCUCCGAUUGGUCGACGCCUGCACCCAAACAAAGACAUGUAACUGUGUGGAUGUCCAAGUCCACACAGCCAGGAUUCCCAGGAGCAGGGAGGAUAUCGAGAGGAUGGCGGGUCAGUGUGGUUUUGGGGAGCUCCACACCCCGUACGGCCCCCGUCAAGGGCCCCAGCCCGGCCUACAGAGCUGUCAAGUAGAGACACACCGUCACCAAUCAGCAGGUUGAAACACACAGAGGAAGACGAGGGAGAAGACAUCUUCCUCUCUGUUCUGUCCUCUCAGCACAGAAAUAUGGACUUGAUCAAGCCAGUCAGUGUUGAACCUGUCUUCUAUAUUGCUCUGGUCUCUACCCUGACUCCUGUUUUAGGAGACAGAAGGAAGGGCCAGAAAGAGAAGACAUUUAUGUGAGCGCUCUCUAAAACAGACUGUAUUAUUCAACACCAUCACACACAGCCCAGUAUUUAUUUAACCUUUAUUUAACUAGGCAAGUCAGUUAAGAACAAAUUCUUAUUUACAAUGACGGCCUACAAAUAGGCAAAAGGCCUACCGCAGGAACCCCUCUCCCUCCCUCUCUUCCCAAAACCCCUCUCCCUCCUCCACUCUCCUCCACUCUCCA
rnacentral:lncRNA from 13 species